rnacentral:misc_RNA from 1 species
UGUGGUCUCUUAGAUGAUGGAGAGA